UUGUUGGUAAGGUAAAAGCUUACCAAGGCUUCGAUCAGUAGCUGGUCUGAGAGGACGACCAGCCACACUGGGACUGAGACACGGCCCAGACUCCUACGGGAGGCAGCAGUGGGGAAUUUUGGACAAUGGGGGCAACCCUGAUCCAGCCAUGCCGCGUGAGUGAAGAAGGCCUUCGGGUUGUAAAGCUCUUUCAGCCGGAACGAAACGGUUACGGAUAACACCCGUGACUACUGACGGUACCGGAAGAAGAAGCACCGGCUAACUACGUGCCAGCAGCCGCGGUAAUACGUAGGGUGCGAGCGUUAAUCGGAAUUACUGGGCGUAAAGCGUGCGCAGGUGGUUUUGUAAGUCAGAUGUGAAAGCCCCGGGCUCAACCUGGGAACUGCGUUUGAAACUACAAGACUAGAGUGUGGCAGAGGGGGGUGGAAUUCCGCGUGUAGCAGUGAAAUGCGUAGAGAUGUGGGGGAACACCGAUGGCGAAGGCAGCCCCCUGGGUCAACACUGACGCUCAGGCACGAAAGCAUGGGGAGCAAACAGGAUUAGAUACCCUGGUAGUCCAUGCCCUAAACGAUGUCAACUAGUUGUCGGGCCUUUACGGGCUUGGUAACGUAGCURACGCGUGAAGUUGACCGCCUGGGGAGUACGAUCGCAAGAUUAAAACUCAAAUGAAUUGACGGGGACCCGCACAAGCGGUGGAUUAUGUGGAUUAAUUCGAUGCAACGCGAAAAACCUUACCUACCCUUGACAUGUAUCGAAGCCCGCAGAAAAGCGGGGGUGCCCGAAAGGGAACGAUAACACAGGUGCUGCAUGGCUGUCGUCAGCUCGUGUCGUGAGAUGUUGGGUUAAGUCCCGCAACGAGCGCAACCCUUGUCAUUAAUUGCCAUCAUUUAGUUGGGCACUUUAAUGAGACUGCCGG
rnacentral:rRNA from 1 species